GAUGAACGCUAGCGAUAGGCCUAACACAUGCAAGUCGAGGGGCAGCAUAAAGGUAGCAAUACUUUGGUGGCGACCGGCGCACGGGUGAGUAACGCGUAUGCAACCUACCUACUACAAGGGGAUAACCCGGAGAAAUUCGGACUAAUACUCUAUAAUACAGGGGUCCCGCAUGGGAAUAUUUGUUAAAGAUUUAUUGGUAGUAGAUGGGCAUGCGUUCCAUUAGGUAGUUGGUGAGGUAACGGCUCACCAAGCCAUCGAUGGAUAGGGGAACUGAGAGGUUUAUCCCCCACACUGGAACUGAGACACGGUCCAGACUCCUACGGGAGGCAGCAGUGAGGAAUAUUGGUCAAUGGAGGCAACUCUGAACCAGCCAAGUCGCGUGAAGGACGACGGCCCUACGGGUUGUAAACUUCUUUUGUAAGGGAAUAAAGUUUAGUACGUGUACUAUUUUGCAUGUACCUUACNAAUAAGGAUCGGCUAACUCCGUGCCAGCAGCCGCGGUAAUACGGAGGAUCCGAGCGUUAUCCGGAUUUAUUGGGUUUAAAGGGUGCGCANGCGGGAUGUUAAGUCGGCGGUGAAAUUUUGCGGCUCAACCGUAAAAGUGCCUUCNAAACUGGCAUUCUUUGAGUGUAGAUGAAGUAGGCGGAAUUUGUGGUGUAGCGGUGAAAUGCAUAGAUAUCACGAGGAACUCCGAUUGCGCNNNAGCUUACUAAGCUACANCUGACGCUCAUGCNCGAANNNGUGGGGNUCAAACNGG
rnacentral:rRNA from 1 species